AGGUUUUCCAAGGAGAGCUGACAUACAGAACAAAAUGCUUCAAUGGCCACAGCAUCAAUGAAGAGACAAAUCCCUUCUGGACUCUUCCACUGUCAUUAAGGAAUACGCAUGAUAAAACCUACAAUGUGGGAAGUAGCUAUACAUGUUUUUUUGAGCCCAAAUCAUUCAGUGGAGACACAUGGUGUACUGCAAUAAAUGUAACGAGAAAACACAGGCAAAAAGUGUGUGUAACAUGAGGAAAUUUCCUCAGAUUUUGACUCUACUCCUAAAGAGAUUUGAUUUUGACUACGACAAAAUGUCACAUUUCAAAUCAGACUGCUGUGUGGCUGUGCCACUCGAAUUACCUCAACUUAAAAACCAGAAUAACAAUUACGAACUGUAUGGGAAGUAAAUCACAUGGCAGUCUGAGAGGUGGACAUUACACAGCCACCAUCCGGUCCAAUGACAGCUGGUACACGUUUAAUGACGAUGUUGUAAAGGCUGAAGGACAACCAUUUGCAGAAAGCAAAAUCUUUGAAUCCAGAGAUGCAUAUCUUCUCAUGUACAGAUUAACAGAUACUACCAAAAAUGCAAAACAGAAGGCAAAGAAGAUGGCAAAAAAAAAAAGAAGGCAAAGAAGAAGGCAAAGAAGAAGGAAAAAAAAUAGAAGGCAAAGA